GCUGAUCACUGAUGAAAACCCAUGUUUUUGUGGACUGCUGGAUGAGAGCUGCGGAUAUGGGACUGAGAUCAGCA